UACAGAGGUCUCAAGCGUUGUUCGGAUUCAUUGGGCGUAAAGGGCGCGUAGGCGGCGGGGUAAGUCGGGUGUGAAAUCUCAGAGCUCAACUCUGAAACUGCACUCGAUACUGCUCUGCUUGAGGACUGGAGAGGAGACGUGGAAUUCACGGUGUAGCAGUGAAAUGCGUAGAUAUCGUGAGGAAGACCAGUGGCGAAGGCG
rnacentral:rRNA from 1 species